rnacentral:lncRNA from 1 species
UGGGAGGGAAAAAAUUUAAGCUCAAAAGAAAAGACCGUAACCGGUCAUUCAUUAUCACCGUAAGUCUUCGGCCAUCGACGUCAACUUCAGCAAGGCAAAACCGACCACUCCGUCUUCACUUCCUUUUUAAAUGUGGCUUUUGAACGUUUUCAAUACUACAUUAUUACAAGUAGAGAAAACUGAGGUUAUUUUUGUAUGUAAAAUAUAAAACAAUUUUGAUAAGUUGAACGUUUUCGACACGUUGGAAUUAAUACAUAGAAAAACUAGCCCCACUUAGUAUUUUUUCUUUGUCAAUACUCAAUACCCUAUUUACUCCUUUCAUUACUCUUUCUUGUCUUGAAUGUAUAUAAAAAUACAAAAUAUAAAACAAACUUUGAUAAAUUGUGUUAGCAAAAAAGAAUAAAAACUUCGAUAAAUUGAAAUUUAGACUUCAAGAGAACAUAGUAAUUUCUGACUAAAAAUGACGGAAUGGAAUCCAGAAUAUUUUUGGGUGAAUUCGUUGUAAUUUCUGAUGGAAUGAUUUUUGUCUAGAGUUUUGCCAAUAGAUUUCUGAAAACACACACACACAUAUAUAUAUAUAUAUAUAUAUUAAUUAGCUGUUGCAGUUUUCGGAUUUCUAAUGGAAUUGAUAGCGGAAUGUAACCGUUGAAAUUUAAAAAUAUCAAAUUUCUUCACAGAUUUUUCUUUUCCUCGGAAUCCGGAAAAAAAUAUUCUACACUUAUCUGUAAAUAUUACCUCUUCUCAUUUACAAAAAGCAUAAAACAUGUUUUUUCUUCUAUAUAUUCGGAGACAAACUUACUUGCAUAGAAAUGCGCAGAUGAUAUUACAAAACUCAUUGGCGGUGGCUCAAUGACAACCGAAAAUUAUAAAAACCCGUAAGUUAAAAUAUCCAUGCUUAACUUGUUGGAAUAAUAGGAAUAUUAACAAUAGUGAAAUUUGGAAGUAUUGUAUAUGGGAUUAUUCCGGGUUAUGGUAAUGUUAGCGAACCUCAUACUGUCGAUAUAUUAGAUGAACCUAGCACAUAUGUAGAUU